rnacentral:rRNA from 1 species
AACGAACGCUGGCGGCAUGCCUAACACAUGCAAGUCGAACGAGACCUUCGGGUCUAGUGGCGCACGGGUGCGUAACGCGUGGGAACCUGCCCUUAGGUUCGGAAUAACUCCCCGAAAGGGGUGCUAAUACCGGAUAAUGUCUUCGGACCAAAGAUUUAUCGCCUUUGGAUGGGCCCGCGUUGGAUUAGCUAGUUGGUAGGGUAAAAGCCCACCAAGGCGACGAUCCAUAGCUGGUCUGAGAGGAUGAUCAGCCACACUGGGACUGAGACACGGCCCAGACUCCUACGGGAGGCAGCAGUGGGGAAUAUUGGACAAUGGGCGAAAGCCUGAUCCAGCAAUGCCGCGUGAGUGAUGAAGGCCUUAGGGUUGUAAAGCUCUUUUACCCGGGAUGGUAAUGACAGUACCGGGAGAAUAAGCUCCGGCUAACUCCGUG